CCUACGGGUGGCUGCAGUGGGGAAUAUUGGACAAUGGGCGAAAGCCUGAUCCAGCCAUGCCGCGUGUGUGAAGAAGGCCUUUUGGUUGUAAAGCACUUUAAGCGAGGAGGAGGCUACUUGGAUUAAUACUCUAGGAUAGUGGACGUUACUCGCAGAAUAAGCACCGGCUAACUCUGUGCCAGCAGCCGCGGUAAUACAGAGGGUGCGAGCGUUAAUCGGAUUUACUGGGCGUAAAGCGUGCGUAGGCGGCUUUUUAAGUCGGAUGUGAAAUCCCUGAGCUUAACUUAGGAAUUGCAUUCGAUACUGGGAAGCUAGAGUAUGGGAGAGGAUGGUAGAAUUCCAGGUGUAGCGGUGAAAUGCGUAGAGAUCUGGAGGAAUACCGAUGGCGAAGGCAGCCAUCUGGCCUAAUACUGACGCUGAGGUACGAAAGCAUGGGGAGCAAACAGGAUUAGAUACCCAAGUAGUC
rnacentral:rRNA from 1 species